UAGUAGAAAAAUAAAACUUCAUUUACUCACACGUUGAAAGAAGUAGAAUACCAACGAAUAUCAAAGCUGUUUU
rnacentral:snoRNA from 1 species